rfam:Cicer arietinum chromosome Ca3, whole genome shotgun sequence.
ACGACCUUACUUGAACAGGAUCUGUUCUAUAGGAUCGUACUACUGUGUCCUUAUAUUCUAAGGAGACAGGAACCUAAAUCUGGUGGAUGAAUCAUGACCGUACGAUCAGACCGUGAUUAACGGUUCUGUGAUGGGAGCUUUGGCUGACCAUUGCAGUUGACUGUAGAGGAUCGUUCUCAGCUUCACUUGUGAUCUGGGAUGGUCGCACGGUUGUCUGACAGAUU